UACGUAGGUGGCAAGCGUUGUCCGGAAUUAUUGGGCGUAAAGCGCGCGCAGGCGGUCCUUUAAGUCUGAUGUGAAAGCCCACGGCUCAACCGUGGAGGGUCAUUGGAAACUGGGGGACUUGAGUGCAGAAGAGGAGAGCGGAAUUCCACGUGUAGCGGUGAAAUGCGUAGAGAUGUGGAGGAACACCAGUGGCGAAGGCGGCUCUCUGGUCUGUAACUGACGCUGAGGCGCGAAAGCGUGGGGAGCAAACAGGAUUAGAAACCCUAGUAGUCC
rnacentral:rRNA from 1 species